rnacentral:rRNA from 1 species
GUGGCGCACGGGUGCGUAACGCGUGGGAACCUGCCUUGAGGUUCGGAAUAACUCCCCGAAAGGGGUGCUAAUACCGGAUGAUGUCUUCGGACCAAAGAUUUAUCGCCUUUAGAUGGGCCCGCGUUGGAUUAGCUAGUUGGUGAGGUAAAGGCUCACCAAGGCGACGAUCCAUAGCUGGUCUUAGAGGAUGAUCAGCCACACUGGGACUGAGACACGGCCCAGACUCCUACGGGAGGCAGCAGUGGGGAAUAUUGGACAAUGGGCGAAAGCCUGAUCCAGCAAUGCCGCGUGAGUGAUGAAGGCCUUAGGGUUGUAAAGCUCUUUUACCCGGGAUGAUAAUGACAGUACCGGGAGAAUAAGCCCCGGCUAACUCCGUGCCAGCAGCCGCGGUAAUACGGAGGGGGCUAGCGUUGUUCGGAAAUACUGGGCGUAAAGCGAACGUAGGCGGCUUGGCAAGUCAGGGGUGAAAUC